rnacentral:rRNA from 1 species
UACGUAGGGGGCUAGCGUUGUCCGGAAUCAUUGGGCGUAAAGCGCGUGUAGGCGGUCCGGUAAGUCCGCUGUGAAAGUCGGGGGGCUCAACCCUCGGAUGCCGGUGGAUACUGUCGGGCUUGAGUACGGAAGAGGCGAGUGGAAUUCCUGGUGUAGCGGUGAAAUGCGCAGAUAUCAAGGAGGAACACCAAUUGCGAAGGCAGCUCCGCUGGGACGUUACUGACGCUGGAGACGCGAAAGCGUGGGGAGCAAACAGG